rnacentral:rRNA from 1 species
UACGUAGGGCGCGAGCGUUGUCCGGAAUUAUUGGGCGUAAAGAGCUCGUAGGCGCCUGUCGCGUCCGCUGUGAAAACCCGGGGCUUAACCCCGAGCCUGCUUCUGAUACGGGCAGACUAGAGGUAUGCAGGGGAGAACGGAAUUCCUGGUGUAGCGGUGAAAUGCGCAGAUAUCAGGAGGAACACCGGUGGCGAAGGCGGUUCUCUGGGCAUUACCUGACGCUGAGGAGCGAAAGUGUGGGGAGCGAACAGG